GACGAACGCUGGCGGCGUGCUUAACACAUGCAAGUCGAACGGAAAGGCCCUGCUUUUGUUGGGUGCUCGAGUGGCGAACGGGUGAGUAACACGUGAGUAACCUGCCCUUGACUUUGGGAUAACUUCAGGAAACUGGGGCUAAUACCGGAUAGGAGCUCCUGCUGCAUGGUGGGGGUUGGAAAGUUUCGGCGGUUGGGGAUGGACUCGCGGCUUAUCAGCUUGUUGGUGGGGUAGUGGCUUACCAAGGCUUUGACGGGUAGCCGGCCUGAGCGGGUGACCGGACACAUUGGAACUGGGAUACGACACAGACUCCUACGGGAGGCAGCAGUGGAGAAUAUUGCAUCAUAGGCGGAAGCCUGAUGCAGCAAAGCCGCGUGCGGGAUGACGGCCUUCGGGUUGUAAACAGCUUUGGCCUGUGACGAAGCGUGAGUGACGGUAAUGGGUAAAGAAGCACCGGCUAACUACGUG
rnacentral:rRNA from 1 species